rfam:Idiomarina loihiensis L2TR, complete genome.
GGAGGGGUUCCCGAGUGGCCAAAGGGAUCAGACUGUAAAUCUGACGGCUCAGCCUUCGCAGGUUCGAAUCCUGCCCCCUCCA